GACUACCGGGGUAUCUAAUCCUGUUUGAUCCCCACGCUUUCGUGCCUCAGCGUCAGUUGCAUCCCAGUAAGCUGCCUUCGCAAUUGGUGUUCUGUGUUAUAUCUAAGCAUUUCACCGCUACACAACACAUUCCGCCUACCUCAUUUACACUCAAGACUAACAGUUUCAACGGCAAUUUUACAGUUGAGCUGCAAACUUUCACCGCUGACUUAUAAGUCCGCCUACGCACCCUUUAAACCCAAUAAAUCCGGAUAACGCUUGGAUCCUCCGUAUUACCGCGGCUGCUGGCACGGAGUUAGCCGAUCCUUAUUCGUAAAGUACAUACAAUAAGCUACACGUAGCUCUUUUUAUUCCCUUACAAAAGAAGUUUACAAUCCAUAGAACCUUCUUCCUUCACGCGACUUGGCUGGUUCAGGCUUUCGCCCAUUGACCAAUAUUCCUCACUGCAGCCCCCCGUAGG
rnacentral:rRNA from 1 species